GUGGGAAUAGCUCAGUGGUAGAGUGUGUAUUUAGCAUGCACAAGGUCCUGGGUUCAAUCCCCAGUACCUCUU
rnacentral:tRNA from 1 species